rnacentral:rRNA from 1 species
ACGCUGGCGGCAGGCCUAACACAUGCAAGUCGAGCGGUAGAGAGAAGCUUGCUUCUCUUGAGAGCGGCGGACGGGUGAGUAAUGCCUAGGAAUCUGCCUGGUAGUGGGGGAUAACGUCCGGAAACGGACGCUAAUACCGCAUACGUCCUACGGGAGAAAGCAGGGGACCUUCGGGCCUUGCGCUAUCAGAUGAGCCUAGGUCGGAUUAGCUAGUUGGUGGGGUAAUGGCUCACCAAGGCGACGAUCCGUAACUGGUCUGAGAGGAUGAUCAGUCACACUGGAACUGAGACACGGUCCAGACUCCUACGGGAGGCAGCAGUGGGGAACAUUGGACAAUGGGCGAAAGCCUGAUCCAGCCAUGCCGCGUGUGUGAAGAAGGUCUUCGGAUUGUAAAGCACUUUAAGUUGGGAGGAAGGGCAGUAAAUUAAUACUUUGCUGUUUUGACGUUACCGACAGAAUAAGCACCGGCUAACUCUGUGCCAGCAGCCGCGGUAAUACAGAGGGUGCAAGCGUUAAUCGGAAUUACUGGGCGUAAAGCGCGCGUAGGUGGUUCGUUAAGUUGGAUGUGAAAUCCCCGGGCUCAACCUGGGAACUGCAUUCAAAACUGGCGAGCUAGAGUAUGGUAGAGGGUGGUGGAAUUUCCUGUGUAGCGGUGAAAUGCGUAGAUAUAGGAAGGAACACCAGUGGCGAAGGCGACCACCUGGACUGAUACUGACGCUGAGGUGCGAAAGCGUGGGGAGCAAAC